AAGUCGUAACAAGGUUUCCGUAGGUGAACCUGCGGAAGGAUCAUUAGUGAAUUGCUCUCUGAGCGUUAACUAUAUCCAUCUACACCUGUGAACUGUUGAUUGACUUCGGUCAGUUACUUUUACAAACAUUGUGUAAUGAACGUCAUGUUAUUAUAACAAAAAUAACUUUCAACAACGGAUCUCUUGGCUCUC
rnacentral:misc_RNA from 1 species